CCUAACCACUUCUUUCUCUAGAUUGAUUCUCGGGGCAGGACACUGCAAGGUGGGUAGUUUAUCUGGGUCGGAUGCCUCCUAAAGAGUAACAAAGGUGUGCAAAGGUAGGCGCUUUCUAUAAGCAAGCAUAAUGGUCUAAGCCUGCCUGACUAUGAGUCUCACUGGUCGAACAGAGACGAAAGGCGGCCAUAGUGAUCGGGGAGUCUUGUGUGGAAGGGCUCUCGCUGAAAGGAUCAAAGGAAUGCCGGGGAUAACAGGCUGAUGACUCCCAAGAGCUCUUAUCGACGGAGUCAUUUGGCACCUCGAUGUCGACUCAUCACAUCCUGGGGUUGAAGAAGGUCCCAAGGGUUCGGUUGUUCGUCGAUGAAAGUGGUAUGUGAGUUGGGUUUAGAACGUCACGAGACAGUUCGUUUUCUAUCUACCAUUGGUCUUGAAGGGAGAACUGCGAGGAUCCAACCCUAGUACGAGAGGACUAGGUUGGGCCAACCUAUGGUGUACCGGUUGUCACGCGUAGCAGCGUUGGGACCAAGUUGGUAUGGAAGAACUGCUGAAAGCAUCUAAGGGGGAAAUCCUUCUCUAGACAAGUUCUUGUAUGAGGUGAAAGAACAUCACUUCGAUAGGUGAUAGGUGUAAGCACCAUGAGGUGUGAAGCGAUAUCAUACUAAUUGUUUACUUAUUCCA
rfam:Picea glauca, whole genome shotgun sequence.